AAACUGGGAUUAGAUACCCCACUAUGUUCAGCCGUAAACCUUAAAUUACAAACUAAUCGCCAGGGAACUACGAGCAAUGCUUAAAACUCAAAGGACUUGACGGUACCCCAUAUCCCCCUAGAGGAGCCUGUCCUAUAAUCGAUAAUCCCCGUUAAACCUCACCACUUUUAGCUUUUUCAAUUUGUAUACCUCCGUCGUCAGCUUACCUCAUGAGCGAAAUCUAGUGAGCUUAACGUCUUCACGUCAAUACGUCAGGUCAAGGUGCAGUAUAUAAAGUGGGAAGAGAUGGGCUACACUCUCUAGUAUAGAAAAUACGAAAAACUACUUAUGAAAUCUAGUUGGAAGGCGGAUUUAGCAGUAAAAAGAAAACAGAGUAUUCUUUUUAAUCUGGCACUGGGGUGUGUACACACCGCCCGUCACCCUCUUCAAAGCUUAAAAAAAGUAAUUAACUAAUUUUUGCGACUACAGAAGAGGCAAGUCGUAACAUGGUAAGUAUACCGGAAGGUGUGCUUGGAAU
rnacentral:rRNA from 1 species